UGGGGAAUUUUGGACAAUGGGGGCAACCCUGAUCCAGCAAUGCCGCGUGUGUGAAGAAGGCCUUCGGGUUGUAAAGCACUUUUGUCAGGAACGAAACGGCUCUGGAUAAUACCCGGGGCUAAUGACGGUACCUGAAGAAUAAGCACCGGCUAACUACGUGCCAGCAGCCGCGGUAAUACGUAGGGUGCGAGCGUUAAUCGGAAUUACUGGGCGUAAAGCGUGCGCAGGCGGUUGUGCAAGACGGAUGUGAAAUCCCCGGGCUUAACCUGGGAAUUGCAUUCGUGACUGCACAGCUAGAGUGUGUCAGAGGGGGGUAGAAUUCCACGUGUAGCAGUGAAAUGCGUAGAGAUGUGGAGGAAUACCGAUGGCGAAGGCAGCCCCCUGGGAUAACACUGACGCUCAUGCACGAAAGCGUGGGGAGCAAACAGGAUUAGAUACCCCUGUAGUCC
rnacentral:rRNA from 1 species